rnacentral:rRNA from 1 species
CACGUAGGGGCGAGCGUUGUCCGGAUUUAUUGGGCGUAAAGAGCUCGUAGGCUGUUGAAUAAGUCAGCUGUUAAAGCUCCAGGCUCAACCUAGGAGAGGCCAGUUGAUACUGCUCUGACUAGAGUCCGGUAGGGAGUGCGGAAUUCCUGGUGUAGCGGUGGAAUGCGCAGAUAUCAGGAGGAACACCGAUGGCGAAGGCGGCUUUCUGGCUGACAACUGACACUGAGGCACGAAAGCGUGGGGAGCAAACAGGA